GCAAGUGUAGGCAUGCCCCAAAGAAAUGUCAGAUGUGGUACAAGGAUCAUUAUACCCAUAUAAGAAGUCUUGCAAUCAGGUUUUUCCCUUCAUUCUGUGUGAUAAUUUCUUCAGCUGGAAAAUAGUGAUCACUGUGCCCAGCUCACAGCGCCCUAUGAUAACGUCUGUGUUUUCUAAACUGUAAAACACCAUGCAAACACAAGACAUAGACGUCCUUCUCCUCGUAGCAUCAGAAUUCCAUGUGGCUUCCUUUUCCUCCUUCUCUCUCCCAGGUCCUUCAAAUGUGGCUUUUCCCACUGAGUUUAUUGCUCCCUGCCCAUUUCCUGCCUUUCCUUAUUACAAGGAGAAUUGGCUCUCUGGGCAGGGCUCCCUAUGCCAGUUGGCAGACAAAGUCCUUAGAAGGCAGAUGCUCCAAUUCUGACAUCACCACCAAAAUCUCUCCUAGUUUUCUGAGAAGAGCCCUCCCCUACCCCCAUCUUGCAAGGGAACUGGCACCUUUCUUUCCCUGUCUCUCUGUCCCUCCCACCUCAUUUUCCCUCUGAAGGAGGUAGUUCAUUCCCCUCCUUAGUUCCCCAGUGGGGACUGAGUUUGCCAGCAGAAACACCCUCUCUUUUCUUCCCUCUCUGCCUGCCUCUCCUUCUCCCCUUUCCUCCCCAUCUGAUCCAUGAAAGUUUUACAAAGGACUUUGACUUGGGCCAAGAGAAAACAAAAGAUUAGGAGAGAAGAGUCUAGUGAAUGCAUGGUUUGAUUUGAAAUUUGCCAUAUUGCCAGGGAUAUUUUGACUACACAGCUUGUAGUUUCCUUUGUGAAUUCUCAGAUACCCCAGGCUGACUCCUUUUCUUUUUCUUUCCUGGAUGAGUCUUCUCUUCAAUUAUGUGCCCUCAUCUUUCGGUUCUAGGAUUGGCCUUCAGCCCCUGACACUAUUCUCCCUAAACUUAAGGUAUCCAUUUGUUUAAUGGUAAUGAAUGUAGUGAUGAAUGAUAUAAGUUGUUAAUUGGCUAAGGAAUUUAGAAAGAUGGUGGUUUUCAUUAUGUCAGUUUCAGCAACUUAAGACAGUUUCACAGUUAUUCAUCAAUGAUUUUUCCCCCAAAUGU